rnacentral:rRNA from 1 species
GAUGAACGCUGGCGGCGUGCCUAAUACAUGCAAGUCGAGCGAACAGACGAGGAGCUUGCUCCUCUGACGUUAGCGGCGGACGGGUGAGUAACACGUGGAUAACCUACCUAUAAGACUGGGAUAACUUCGGGAAACCGGAGCUAAUACCGGAUAAUAUAUUGAACCGCAUGGUUCAAUAGUGAAAGACGGUUUUGCUGUCACUUAUAGAUGGAUCCGCGCCGCAUUAGCUAGUUGGUAAGGUAACGGCUUACCAAGGCAACGAUGCGUAGCCGACCUGAGAGGAUGAUCGGCCACACUGGAACUGAGACACGGUCCAGACUCCUACGGGAGGCAGCAGUAGGGAAUCUUCCGCAAUGGGCGAAAGCCUGACGGAGCAACGCCGCGUGAGUGAUGAAGGUCUUCGGAUCGUAAAACUCUGUUAUUAGGGAAGAACAAAUGUGUAAGUAACUAUGCACGUCUUGACGGUAUCUAAUCAGAAAGCCACGGCUAACUACGUG